AGAAAUAUAGAAAUUUUUGGUGCACCCAGGCUUCCUAGCAAAUUUCAGGAGGAGAAGAGAGUCCCGGAAGUGUGCCGGGAGUAUCAAGCACUAGGGUGGUGCGUUAGCCAUCACAAGAUCGGCAGAGUCAUAACAUUAUAAAAGUACCGCAUCAGCAUCAUCCUAGAAGUUUGUCAUAGAAGGUUGGCCAUGCCCCUCUGAGUGAAAG